CCGCGGUAAUAUUGCGCAAUGGGCGAAAGCUUGACGCAGCAACGCCGCGUGAGUGAUGAAGGCCUUCGGGUUGUAAAGCUCUGUUCUCAGGGACAAAAAAAAUGAUGGUACCUGAGAAGAAAGGACCGGCUAACUUCGUG
rnacentral:rRNA from 1 species